rnacentral:misc_RNA from 1 species
GCUUUUCUCCUUUCAUUAGCCUUCACCUCAGCGAUUCUCCUAUACAAUACUAAGUCAGUGCCAGUAACAGAAGGCUCUUCCUUCUCUUUAUCCGCAUCACGGUCAGUUUGAAGUUGUUCAAGCUGUUGUUCAACUGCUGCUGGCACAAGAUGUGGAUGACUCAUCAAGAUUUGAGACAAGAACUGCCCAAUGGGAGACUCCAACUGAAGCGGUGCUAUUGGAGCUAAUGAGCCAGAAGAAUCUGAAGCCGGUGACGAUGAUGACGCUCUCACUAUUGCACAUCUCCUCCUUCCAAAACCCACUCUUCUAUGCCCUGAUUUUCCAUAUGAAACUGAAGUACAAUGCUUAUUAACUGGGAAGUGAUAUUUGGUAGAAAAACGAACAAAAUCAGGACCAUUGGCGGCUAGAAACAAUGAUCCCCGAACAGAAAUCGAAGGUUUAUACAUCCCAAUGGGAGAUCGAACAACAGCUGCUGUAGCUGCUUCCAUCUUCACUUCUCAAUAGGACUCUAGCUCUAGGCAACGGAGAAAAGAUUCUUUGAGAAGAGAGGUAUGAGAGACGGUCGGAUCCGUAACUAAGAGGAGAGGAUUUUAUGUGGUGUGCGUGGUAGGCUCUGAGUCUGAGAUGG